rnacentral:lncRNA from 1 species
UCAUAACUGUAAUGUGAAGGAGAAAACCUUUUGCUCAGGAUUCCUCUCAGGAUGGGUAAACUACCUUUGUUGGCAAACUCCAAUGAUAAGUGCGUGGGUUGGGGUUGGUUUCUCUCCCUCACAUGAAACAGCAGAGGAAUUUACAUGCUGGCCAGAGGGAGGAGAGGGAAAGAGACCAGAAAAACAGAGGAAAACAGGCUGGGAGGAGGCAGAAGGCUAUGUGCCUGGGCUGUGACCGACCUGGAAUGUCUGCCCCAUCCACCUUCAGUAGCGUUGCUAAGCUCUGGCAUCGACGAAUCAGUGCGUGUGGAUUGUUUGCGGAACUCGGUGGAAGGGCUGGGCUUGGCUUCUGCAUUGACUUGAGGCAGCACAAAGCAGUGAGUGGAAGAAGGGGUCAGAGCCGGAGAGAAAUCACGUGGAGGCCUUGUGAUGUCCUAGGCCAUGGAAUUCGGGUCCAGGUCAAGGUUUGGCUUCCGAUGUUGCAAUCCAGCCACAGCCUGGAGAGCAGAGGAGGACAGCUAUCUACCUUCAGGGAGGGCCAGGCCUCAACAGUGGGACUCUCUCUGAUUCUGGCAAAAGCCCGUGGGGCUGCAGCCACCCACCUCUGAGCGCUCAGGCCUCCCCUUCACCUCGGCCUUAUUGAAGUGUGUCUGUCUUGUGUGUUCACCUUCAGAUCUCAUCACAAGGAUCCCUGUCGCUUCUCUUCCCCUCUCUCCCUUCUCUCUCUCAUAUUUUGAAAUAUUUUGUUGACCAAACUGCAUUUACUCACAGUUCACCCAUUUUCCCAUAUUUUGGCAACCAAAAGCUUAUACAGUUGUCAAUCAAGACUUCUGAUUUGCUUGAGAUAACAAAAUUAGUACUGAAUUGAUAUAAUUCUAGAUCAAAACAAAGAAGCUUUGUAGUUUAAUAAUAGUUCGUGUUUACGGAAACCUUCCAUGUGCUAGGCAGUGACCCUCUGGGGUGGCAUUCUUGUUAACCCCAGUUCACAGACAAGGAAACAAAAGAGAUUAGCUUGCCCAGCAUCACUAGCAAGCGUGUAAGGAAGCUGAGAUUCAAACUCAGGUGAUCUGAAAACAGAGCCCCAGCUCUUCCAUCCUGAGCCAAAGGGAUAAAGCACGCACUUAAAACACAGAGUGCCCAUCGUGCCUUGUGAAAUACAGCAAAAAUCUGGAGCCCCUCCACCACGAUCUUAGUGCACCUCUGAAAGGCCUCCAGCUCUCGGUGAGGAAUACUGCGAUAAAUAAAUCCCUCUCAAGAUAGCAAUUACUUUCUGUUUCAAGUUUUUGAGAAGCUAGUUUUACCAAUUAAAUCUAGAUAGUUUAAAAAAUCCUUUUUUCAAAAAUUGGUUCAACAUGCUUUCUUUCUUUUUAAUUGAAUACAAUAUUUAACCUUCUCUGCCCAAAAAUAUAACAAAGAAGCUUCAUACGCUAAUCAUUUGCAUAACUCUAAAUACUUCUGACCUUCACUGGUGUGCUGAUGUCCAUUUUCUCUAACUUUGAGAAGCGUGUGUAUACUCUUUGUGGUACUAUUUUGAAUUCCGUCCUUUUCAUGAAAUACGGUUUCAGAUGUUCUCGACUGACAUGACUCAUGCAUUUGUCUUCUGAAGUUCGAUACACUAUGUUCCUGCGGGGGAGCCCUCCUCUCCACCGUCCAAUUUGGGGCUAUAAGGCUACGUGACAAACGUGAGCUAUAAAUAUUUUUUGCCUUUUGUUUUAACAAUUGACCUUCUUUUCUUUUUAAAUUACUUACUUAGGAUAUUUUCCCAGAAGUGGGGCUGCCAGGUCCGAGAGUAGAGAGGUAUAACCAGGAAAGCAUGGGUCCUGGAGUCAGGCCUGUACAGAUGGCCUUCCCUACCACUGACUCUCAGCUGGCUUUAGACAAGAUCCUUAAUCUCGUCCUAAGCCUCAUAAAUCAAAUAAGAAUACCGUCCCCACAGGGUAGUCACAAGGAUUACCAAUAAAAGACAUCCCCCCCACAGCAGACCCUCCCUGAGUGGAGGUAGCUGUUGUACGUAGCACCGCUAAUUUAGGGCUUUUUGCGAGUUACCGUCCUACUUUCCCGCUUGCACAAUAAAUGGCUUAAUUAUUAAUUAAGACAA